CCUCUCUCAAUCAAUCUCCCUUUUUCGAUCUCCCUCUCCCGAUCUCAACCCUCUCCCUCGAUCUCCCUCUCUCUCGAUCUCCCUCUCACUCUCCCUCCUUCUCUCUCGAUCUCCCUCUCCCUCUUCCGAUCUCGACCCUCCCUCUCUCGAUCUCCCUCCCUCGCUCCCUCCCUCUCUCGAUCUCCCUCUCCCUGUCCGACUCUAGAUCUAACAGUCCCCACACUGUAUUGUAGAAGUAGUAGCAGCAGCUCUGUAUGGGGUGUGUGUUCUGUCAUCCACGGUUGAAUGGGAAAGAUUGAAGGGAGGGAGUGAGUGCAGCAGCAGUAGCAGUAGCAACAGCGUGCUGACAGGAAUAUAAUCAUAUUUGUUAGAAGUCCACUUCUCUUGUUGUAGGUAAGAACCUGCUGAAUCAGAAUGUCGUCAUUAAGUAACAAAGCAUGGAUGGACAAACAUAGGUUAAGUCCAGAAUAUUUGGAUGGACUUGUGCAUUUUAUUGAGUUUAUAAAGAACAACGGUGGUGGAUUUGAUCAUUAUUCGUGUCUGUGUGUGAAAUGUAGAAAUGGGAGUGGGAUGUUCACUCUUGGAGAGAUUUGCUUCUUGCAUCAGAGUUCAAUAUCAUGAAUGAUUAUAUGCUGUUAGGUUUGUCAAUUCAAGAGUUCAAUAUCAUGUUGUUUAUCUCAUUGAAAUCACAAAAGAAUAUCAUGCAUCGCCAGUCUCUGAAGGUGGAAUUCAUAUGUUUAGAGGAGGAGAAUUUGGAAAUGAUCAGCAGCAUCCUCAGCAGCAGCUGGGUGGCGUACCUCAUUCAGCUGAUCAUCACCACCCAAAAGGUUGUGGGAUUGGCGAGGGCAAUGUUCAAAUGCUGUAGGAAGGUUGAAGGAAUGACUGAUGUGGUUGAUAUUGUUGGAACGGGAGGUGAUGGGACAAACACGAUUAACAUAUCAACAGGGGCUUGUAUUCUAGCUGCUGCCUCUGGUGCAAAAAUCGCUAAGGUGAUUCUCCUUUCACAUAAGGAAUAAUGUUGAAAUUAUUCUAGUAUGUACUGUAAUUAAUUAGAAUUCUAUGUUAUGGUAGCAGCAAGGAAACAGAUCCUGUUCUUCUGCCUGUGGAAGUGCUGAUGUGUUAAGAGGCAUUGGGGGUAAACAUCAAUUUGGACCCUGAGGAGUGCGAUGGAGAUACACAGAGCAUCAAUCACUAACAAUUCAAGAGCACAUAAUAAUCUAAGGCUAACGUUACUCCGAUUGCUUUAAUGGUUGAGGUUAUUUCAUGGAUAAUCAGUUUAAAUCCAAGGGAGCUUUGCUGUUUAAAAGUUUGGCUGCCAAGGAACCAUCUGCUCUUGCCUUGGAUACUUAUUACAAGCAGUAUUAUCUCUGUUUGGCUGCUGCUGCUGCUACUAUCAAAUGGUAAUCCAAUUCUGCAUGCAUUUGAGUUCUACCUAUUUUUCUAUUCAUGUUGUAACUUCCACUCAAGAGCGUAUUUGAUAUAGAGUGGAUGAUCCCAACCAACAAUGAAUGAGAUCAACGCCCCUUGUCGCGGAUGAUAUAGAGUGGC